ACGGUUAUAAAUCAACAUAUUGAUUUAUAAGCAUGGAAAUCCCCUGAGUGAAACAAUGAAUUGCUGUGUGUAGUCUUUGCCCAUCUCCCACGAUGGGCUUUUUUUUAA
rnacentral:other from 1 species